rnacentral:rRNA from 1 species
AAAAACAUGGCCUUUUGAUUUUAAUUUAAGGUCUGGCCUGCCCAAUGAAUAUUAAAUGGCCGCAGUAUACUGACUGUGCAAAGGUAGCAUAAUCAUUAGUUUUUUAAUUGAAAGCUGGAAUGAAAGGUCGGAUGAGAAAAUAACUGUCUCUUAGAAAAUUUAUUAGAACUUUAUCUUUAAGUAAAAAAGCUUAAAUUUAAAUGGAAGACGAGAAGACCCUAUAGAGUUUUAUAUUUAUUUAAUAUGAAAUUUUUAGUAUUUUAAUCUUCAUUUUAAUAUAAUAUUUGGUUGGGGUGAUUAGAAAAUUUACAAAACUUUUCUUUUAUUUAAAACAUUUAUUUAUGAUUAUAUGAUCCUUUUUAAAGAUUAUAAGAAAAAAUUACCUUAGGGAUAACAGCGUAAUUUUUUUUGAGAGUUCUUAUCGAAAAAAAAGAUUGCGACCUCGAUGUUGGAUUAAAAUAAAUUUUUGGUGUAGAAGCUAGAAUAAUUAGGUCUGUUCGACCUUUAAAAUUUUACAUGAUCUGAGUU